CCAAAAUGAAUGGGACUCAAUGGGAAUGCUAACGCAAGUGAAGUUCUGCUACAAGAUGGCGGCACACGGCCGACUUCAACUUCCGGUCGACUUCCUUGCCGCCUGGCCAGGAUGAGAAAGCAGUGUUUGUUCAGGAUUGUAGAGGGUUGGCAUCGAUACUAUCAAUAUUUAGAUCGAUCCGCCCACCCCUAGAGCAAACAGCGGCAUUGAGUGGAGCAGCACGAAUAUCUGAGGUGAGACAUCAAAUGAACCAUGACCUUUUUGAAAAGCUAUGAAAAUAACACCUAGCUAAUGACAUAACUGUGUGUUACAUAAUGAAUAAAUGACGAUGUGCCACAGAAUUAAGCACACAAGAUGUUAAUGUGGCCACAAUAUUAGAGCACUAAUAGAGCACUGCGCUAGCAAGCAAGCAAGUGCAAGGUUGGGGGUUCGAUUACCCGGGAACACAUGAUAUAUAAAAAUUGAUAGCCUAAAUGCACUGUAAGUCGCUUUGGAUAAAAGCGUCUGCUAAAUGCAUAAAUUUAAUUUAAUUUAAUUUUAAUUUUAAAACACCUCAAGACCUUUUCUCAGAUGUUUUAUUUCAAGAUUUUUGUUUUAUUUCAAGAUUUUAGCCUGCCUGUUACCAGAGCACUCGUGUAUUGAUUAUUUUCACCAGCAGAGGGCGCUGUGAACUACACUGAUUGCUUGUUAAUUUACUGCUACUUCAUUCCUGAGGAACUGAACCUGGACGACAGCAGGACGCUAUUAUCAUCAAUCCUCAGAAGAGACACCAUUGUCCCUAUAUAAAGGUAGUAUGUCAAAUUAAAAUAACACUGUUUGUAUGUACUUUAUAACUGCCUUUCUAACUCUAACUUUAUAAAUAUAAUUUUAUGACUUCUAUUGUUUUAACAAAUACUGAAAUUGAUGGAGACACUUUAAUGAAUCUAACUAAGACUACGAAAGCUUAAAUAUUCCCAAAAAAUGAAGGAUGGAGUUAAAUUUAUAAGAUUACAAGAAAACCUAAAUACUGAGAUGCCAGCAAGACCACAGACACCACGAGUAAGUUACUAUUCUACAACUUUUUAAAAAUAUAUGUGGACACAUUCACGAAUUAUUAUUUACUAUUAAAAUUAUUUAAUGGAAUGUACGGAAGAACUUAGUGACUUUGACAUUUUCUUUUAUUUAUUUAUUUGGUUGUUAUUCCAAUGCAACUUUAUUGCAUUCCCAUUUUUAAUGGGAUGCUCAGUUGUGAUGGUUAGGUCAGGUGUCUACAUACAGUAUGUUUAGCUGAACUAUACUGUUAUCUUUGCAAAUCAUUGAGUUGCUUUUACCAUACUAAUAUGCACCUUUCUGUGAACUUUUUUUGUAGGAAUUCCUGUUGAUAUUCCACCUGGAUCCAUCUCAAGACUACAUAUUGCUUAUUUGUAGCAAAAAAAAAAUAUAAUAAUAAUAAUAAAAAGACUUUAGACCAGAGGUUUUCUGUAUCAAAAACAAUUCAAGCUCUGUUUAAUUAAAUGCGCAUAUACAUAAAACAGUUUUUCUCUAUUUUCAGGUAUGCAACAGGUGAACACAAGCUGUCUUCAGCCCUUGUUACCAAAUACCAGUUCUUGAGACAAAAGACUGGCAGAGGAUGUGCUUAAAAACAAAUAAUAAGAAAGAAAGAACACCUUUGAUUAAUGUUGAAGAAAAACUUACAUUUGCUGCAUGUUCAGUAAAGUAAGAAAAGAGAUCAUUUUCCAGGAGUCCAUCAAAAAAUAUUGCAACCAUUGUAGAGAUGGAGGAUCUAUCUGGUCAAGAUUUGUAUCAAAAGAGGUCAAGGUCAGUUGGGGUAAGAGUCACAGACAGAGUCUUGAGGCACAAACAGAGAUCAUUGAGAGCCAAAGAACAGCAGCUGGGGGAGAUAUUUUUUCAGUUUGUAAUACAUAUUUAUGUAUUUAAAAGUUUAUGGACAAUCAUGGUGUUCUGUGUUUAUAGUGACAUUGGAUUAGUAGUGUAUAAUAAUAAUAAUAAUAACAACAACAACAAUAACAACAAUGUUAUUGGUAUCUAGAAAAGGGUUCAUAAAGGAACUGAUGGGGGUCAUUAAUGCACCAUUAAGUGAAGGUUCCAAUUAGAACCUUUUCAAAAAGGUUAAAAAAUGAACCUUUAAGGUUCCCCCACAGUUGCAAUCUACAGGAACCUCAAAAGGUUCAUUUUUUAACCUUUUCUUCUAAGAGUAUACUGCACUAUACUUUUUGAUUUGUUCUCAUCAUUCUGCUUCCCUCAAUUCUCCAUACAUUUUCCUUUGUACUUCUUCUGAUGCCUAGAUUUGAUUUGAUUUACAGAUUCAUUAAAAUAUCAUUUAAUUUGGUGGUUUUAAAGGUACUUAGUAAGCUGCUCCACCAUUAGAAAAGGAAAUGGGCAUCCAUCAUUUCAAAAUGGAGCAAGAAAUCCGACCAGUCCCUGAGGUUAUAUGAUGUUAGAAACAUUAUCUUCCUAUCCGGCAUCAUGCAGAAUGGUACAAAAAUCAAAUUAAUGUUGCACAUACAAAGGCAUUCAGUUACUUUUGAUUCAAAAUACAAAUCGGAACCAGGUGAGUAUCAAGCAUCAGUUGGUCCAUCCUCAGUCAUUUUGAAUUAUAAAUAAAUGUAGAGGAAACACAGCACCAUAGCUUUCAUAGCACAUCUUUUCUGUGUGACAUAUCAAUAACAUAACCAUUAAAAGUAUUUGACAGUUCAAGAACUUGGCAAAGGCAAAAGAGUUAAAUAUUUGUGCAAAGAGAGACCUACUGUUUUUUUCAUAGAAAGGCCAAACUUUUGUUGCAUGGAUUAAAUGACUUAUUGUUUUAAAACAUGUAAAAUGUUGCUAUAUUUAUUUAUUAGUAACUGUUUCACGGUUAUUUUUUAUUUUUUGUAACUUUUUUUUAUCAGAAGAAGUACUGCCCAUUUUUUUCCAUUAAGAGGACGGAUGGUAGUUUCAGAACUUAGUUGGUUCCUCAGUGCCCCCUCCAGGAUUUUACAGAGACGCAGCUGUGUGUGCUGAGGGGAAGCCAUUGCAACAAACCUUUACAAUGCCACAAUUUCCAACCAAGGAUUCUCUUGUUACAAACAGGCACAGAAGGUUUAUGGUGUGCAGAUUCUGCAGAAUGUUGGUAGAUGAGUUGAAGGCCCGGCGUAGGAGUAAACGGUCAGCCUUCAGUAAACAUUGUUUACAAAAUCCCCCGAUUUAAAUUCAGCGAACAGUGUUUCUGAGAUAACAUACAGACCCAUAGCCAUCUAUGCCUUUUCAACGUCUUUAUAAUUGUCUUUGUCGUUUUCUAUUUGUUCUGACAAAUAGAAAACAAACAUUUUAACGAUUCGAAGUGAAGGAAGAUAAAAAGUGUUUAUAUAUUAUAAAAUAGUGUUUAUAUAAGUUUCUUAGUCUCGUCAACGUGCGUGUGACGUAGUUGUGCGUGUACAGAGCUCCGACGUCAGCCCGUCAGAGCGGUUCCAUUUUACUUUCGGUUUCAUUUUCUUUCCAAGUAGUAAGUGUGUGCACGAACACUAAACCACAUUUGGCACCUCUGUUAAUUUUAGAACUGUACAAUAGUAAACUGUAAAGUGUCACUGUAAAGUGACAUUCUGAAGAUAUAAACCAUUGAACAACCUUCUGUGUUUCUGAACAAACUAUUGUGCUGUAUUAUUAAACCAAUCAUAUAAAAUGGGGACCAUUUAAAACAAUAAAUAAAUCAAUCAUUAUGUUCAUUAUACUCCUAUCCACAAUAAACUAUUGUAAUCAUGAGGGUGUCCUUGAAAAAUCUUCUCUGCAAGGGCUCCCUGGCUCCAAAACACUGGAAAACCCCUGUGGACAGGCAUCCAUAUACAGCAGAGAUUCUGGUGUGGCAGGAGGAACUUUCCUGGUUUUUAAAAGCUAUUUUAAAGUUUAAAACGCCUAAUUUCACAGGCUCGCGUAAGCAUCGGGGAAAAUAAAGUUCUGAAAAUCUUGUAUUAUUGGUAAUUUAGUUAUAGAAAGUAUUUGUAUCUGCUAGUACUAAAACUAACCACUAGGUGUCAGUAGUCUUACACUUAGCAGGAGACCAGUGUUGCCAGAUUGGGCGAGUUUCAGCCCAAUUAGGCAGUUUUGAAUUUGAUUGUGCGGGUAAAAAUUGGCUUGGGCGGGUAGACAAAAUUUGGGCUCGCUUUGGGUAAUUUUUGUGGGUUUCAAACAUAAAUGGCACUGGCUAAGUUUUUAAUAAACAAGCACACGUGUGCAUGCACUGCAUCCAAUCAGUCAACACAACGUUACUAAACACACACUGCUGGUGUAUGGUGUUUGUCAUUAAAAUAAUGCCAUACUGGUGCUGAUUUAAACGUCGACAGCCGCACUUUAUACUAUAAAAGGGCUAUAAGGGCUCAGCAGACAGACGUUAUUCAUUAAUAAUUGUGGAGUGAGAUGACACAAGGCUUUUUCACUGCAACUCCGAAAUCAGAGCACAUUUUAAUCAAAACCAAAACUUACAUGUCAUUUAUACGAUCCUGAAUUUGAUAUUUUAAACGGUCCAGAUUGCAUCCCUGAAAACUGACUUGAUUAGUUUUGACUCUGCAAACUCCAAAAAUGUAAUAAUAUUAUCUGUCAGAAACAUUAUCAAUGUUGUCAAAAACAGUAGUAUUUAACACUAUAGGCUGUUUUAACACUAACACUAUAUCUGAUCUCUAGAAAAAGUAGGUAACCGAAUGAAAUGAAAUACUCUAUGCAAACAAUAGCCAUAAAUAAAUCUAUAUGCAAUGUAAUUCAGUGUGAAAAUGUAACUACUAAAAAAAAUCAUAAAAGAACUAGACAGUUAUAAUAUAUAUAGCAAUGAUUAUUAAUUAAAACCAUAAUAGUCAUAUUUAUUGUUGUAUGAUUAAUAAACAACUGAUAAAAUUAUUCACCCCUUGAACUUGAUGUAACAAAUAUGGUAGCCUAUGAUUUAACAGUGUUCAUCCCUCCAAAACAGAAAGAAAAUUUUUCACAAACAUUUGCAUCACUUGUCUCUUUUAAAGAUUGAGUGUAUAUUUGUAUAGGCAGUAUUAUAGCACAAUUCUUAACCUUAUACCCAUCUCAGACCUCACUAAUUUUCAAACCCUAGCUAAGGCCAUGAUGACAAAGGUGAACAUUUUUAUAUGUUCUGUUUCUGAUUUACUGAUUUCUUAAAGUGGGUUCAAACUGCGGCAUUUUGUGUUGGAAUAUA